AUGCACGCUGGCGGCGUGCCUCAUACAUGCAAGUCGAGCGCACGGACGAGAAGCUUGCUUCUCUGAUGUUAGCGGCGGACGGGUGAGUAACACGUGGAUAACCUACCUAUAAGACUGGGAUAACUUCGGGAAACCGGAGCUAAUACCGGAUGAUAUUUUGAACCGCAUGGUUCAAAAGUGAAAGACGGUCUUGCUGUCACUUAUAGAUGGAUCCGCGCUGCAUUAGCUAGUUGGUAAGGUAACGGCUUACCAAGGCAACGAUGCAUAGCCGACCUGAGAGGGUGAUCGGCCACACUGGAACUGAGACACGGUCCAGACUCCUACGGGAGGCAGCAGUAGGGAAUCUUCCGCAAUGGGCGAAAGCCUGACGGAGCAACGCCGCGUGAGUGAUGAAGGUCUUCGGAUCGUAAAACUCUGUUAUUAGGGAAGAACAUAUGUGUAAGUAACUGUGCACAUCUUGACGGUACCUAAUCAGAAAGCCACGGCUAACUACGUG
rnacentral:rRNA from 1 species